GACGAACGCUGGCGGCGUGCUUAACACAUGCAAGUCGAACGGAAAGGCCCUGCUUUUGUGGGGUGCUCGAGUGGCGAACGGGUGAGUAACACGUGAGUAACCUGACCUUGACUUUGGGAUAACUUCAGGAAACUGGGGCUAAUACCGGAUAGGAGCUCCUGCUGCAUGGUGGGGGUUGGAAAGUUUCGGCGGUUGGGGCUGGACUCGCGGCUGAUCAGCUUGUUGGUGGGGUAGUGGCUUACAAAGGCUUUGACGGGUAGCCGGCCUGAGAGGGUGACCGGCCACAUUGGGACUGAGAUACGGCCGAGACUCCUACGGGAGGCAGCAGUGGGGAAUAUUGCACAAUGGGCGGAAGCCUGAUGCAGCAACGCCGCGUGCGGGAUGACGGCCUUCGUUUUGUAAACCGCUUUCGCCUGUGACGAAGCGUGAGUGACGGUAAUGGGUAAAGAAGCACCGGCUAACUACGUG
rnacentral:rRNA from 1 species